UGAAAUAAUAAAAAUUAAUAUAGCAAAUUUCCUUUUAGAUUUAUUGUUCACUUCCGUUGUCAUUGAUUACAUCCGCUUUGAGCCCGCUGUACUCACAAGGGUCAAAACCAUUAAAACCACUGGUUAAAACUAAUUGAAAGAAGGACGUCUAUCAAGGAACAUCAAUAUCUUUUGGACAUCAAACAAGCUCGACAUCUUUUUCGAGAAGAGAAGGGGAGAGAAAAAACUUUUCAUAACAAGUCAAAGAAUGAAACUGCCAUUGAUCUUAAUUUCAUUAUUUUUUCAGUUGAUUUCUGUAAAAGCACAAUUCAAUGAGAAAACAAAUGAUGAUAUCUAUGAAACAUGCCAUAGAAAUCAGGAUGGAACGUACAAGGUUGCUCUUCGAUUUUGCAACGGAGGAUAUUGGCGCACAACUGGUCAAGAGAAAACUCGUCAUGGUCAACGGAAAACUCGUCAUGGUCAUCUGAAAACUCAUCAUGGUCAUCAAAAAACUUUACAUGGUUACAACAAAACUGAUUAUUAUCAUAAAAAUGGUAUUUUUACAAAAGUGUUUCCCAUGAUGAGUCAUCUAACGUUAAAUUUUUUUAAGUCAGUGUGAGAAUUUUUGAGUGAGAAUUUUGAUACCUGGAGAAGCACUUUUCAAUUAGCUUUCACACGAAAAUUACCAAGUUGAAAAGCAAUCGGAACACGUAUAGGGUUAAAAUAUGACACAUGCUGUCCAAGCUAACAAUGUUUUUCGAAAUUUGGCCAGACUGUACGAACGAUAAGCAUCCAUUGUAUUUUUCUUUUAAUUGCAAUAUUUUAUAACCUUCCUCAAUUAUUCAUAUUUGGAUGAAUUUAAGCCAACAUCUAUGCAUAAUUGAUGAGGAUUGUAACUAAAUUCCAAUACAACAAUAAAAAACCUAAAUUUACCCGCGAUAUGAAAGCUGAGGGUUUUCGUAAGCAUUCGCUAAUUUUUCUAAAAGAUUGUUAGCUUGAAGAAUAUAUUGAAAUUAUAUUCUUUAGAAAUUGAAAACCAAUAGAGGUUUUAUGAAAGUACUUUGAAUUUAAAAUUUAGGAGCUAUAAUUUAUUUUGACAAACGCUAGACCCGCUCCUGUAAUUCAAGUCUCGAACUAGCGAUUUCUAUCAAAAAUUUUGACAAAUCA